AGGAGCCCAGCUGGCUUUGCCUUGUCGAGGCCGCUCCAGGGCUGUGGGUGGAGCUGCCUGCCAGUCCUGUGCCGCGCGCCGGCACUCUUCAGACCUUCGGUGCAGAGAAAAGUCAGUGGGUUCAGCCUUGCCAGAUAAAAAGUAAUCAAAGGAAUGAACAGCCACAGCACCACGCACUGCUGAAUCCAAUGUCCAGGACACCUUCACUUAAGGGACAGAAGUGAAUCCCCCUCUGACCAAGAACAUCCGACUCCAAGUUCUACAGUUUUGGAACUCGGAGUGGCUCUCCUUGCUCCUCAUCCUGCAGAUGGCCUAUUGACGGACCUUGUGAUUGU